UAAUUAUGUCCCAAUGGAGCAGUAUCAGACUCAUAUUCUGUGAGUAUGGCUACGUCAGGCUACAUUGACACCUCCUUCCUAUACAAUUCUCACAAUUCGAAACUCCCGCCAUAAAACGGGCAAAUCCCAGCGAAGCUGGAAGUUUACGCAAACUCGGGGGCAGUACCUUAUUUAGCUCUGGUCUUUACCUUUGUAACGCCCCAACAUUUACAUACAGACCAGCCCGCAGGUGCUCUGGGCACAGGAACAUGAAUGGAGGUCGCGAAGAUGUGAGACAUUAGCUGCAUGCUGCUCGGUUUACUUCCAGGAAUUACAAAGCAGACAGUUCUUCAAGGAUAUUGAAAGUGAGCCACGGUCGUAAAUGCAGUGUUCCAGGCUGUACGGAGAAAGCGGAGACUUUUCAGUCUUCCCAAGGAUUCAAAAGCUCGAGGGGCAUGGAUAAUGUUUUUCUACCAGAAGAUCCCUGCGAAGUUCGACACUCAGUUAUUAAUUUGCAAAACAUUUCACCCAAGACAGUUUUCAAAACCUUGGACAGUUUAAAGCAGGAUUUGCUAUGCUGCUGUUACGGAAACAAGGGGCUGUUCCGACCGUAAGGUCAUCACAACCACAUGCUGUUUUAUCUUGCAGCCAUGCACUUCAAUGAGAAUGCUGAGCGUCCACAACGGGAGACACCCAAGGAGAAACUAAUGUACAGACUUGCCAAACAAUUUGCUGUCUUAGACCUGAUGC